rnacentral:rRNA from 1 species
GAUGAACGCUAGCUACAGGCUUAACACAUGCAAGUCGAGGGACCGGCGCACGGGUGAGUAACACGUAUCCAACCUGCCCUUUAAUAGGGGAUAGCCUUUCGAACGAAAGAUUAAUACACGAUGUGAAGGAUGGGGAUGAGUUCCAUUAGGUUGUUGGUGAGGUAACGGCUCACCAAGACUUCGAUGGAUAGGGGUUCUGAGAGGAAGGUCCCCAACAUUGGAACUGGGACACGGUCCAAACUCCUACGGGAGGCAGCAGUGAGGAAUAUUGGUCAAUGGGCGUUAGCCUGAACCAGCCAAGUAGCGUGAAGGAUGAAGGCUUAUGGGUCGUAAACUUCUUUUAUAUAAGAAUAUGUAUUAUAUGAAUAAGGAUCGGCUAACUCCGUGCCAGAAGCCGCGUAUAC